UACGUAGGGUGCAAGCGUUGUCCGGAAUUAUUGGGCGUAAAGAGCUCGUAGGCGGUCUGUCGCGUCUGCUGUGAAAACUCAGGGCUUAACCCUGAGCUUGCAGUGGGUACGGGCAGACUAGAGUGCGGUAGGGGAGACUGGAAUUCCUGGUGUAGCGGUGAAAUGCGCAGAUAUCAGGAGGAACACCGAUGGCGAAGGCAGGUCUCUGGGCCACUACUGA
rnacentral:rRNA from 1 species